rnacentral:sRNA from 1 species
UAAAAGUUUUUGUUCGGUGAUACAGUAUCCUAGUCGGGAAGGGAUUUUCUGAAGGCGGGCCUAAAAAUCCGUCAAAGGGCACAGCGAUGAAGUUCCUGGUGCUGGCCUUCAACGCCCAGUUGGGGGCUGGUACUGGGAGUUAAGGGGGUGGGGCGACCUGCAAUGGCAUGUGGGCGUUGACCCCGCCCCCGUGGAGACCCAAGUGCGUGGGGAAAUUCCAAUUGGGAUAAACUAUGGCUUGGGGUUAAAACCUGCUCGUGGUGAAAAGCUGCGUGCAGCGUAGCCUGCCUUGAGUGGUGGCGGUGGAUUCCGGAAUAUUGCCCGCUUUUUACAUGGGCCCGUGGAUUAAGCCGGCAGGUUGAAACCGUUAUUGCAAAAGAGGCUAGGAAAAACCCGCACCUGUUGAGGAAAACUCCUAGGCUGUCCUAUUUAGGGGCGGCCCGGGGAUUGCAGUGUGGACUAAACGGUAAUCCAGUCCCGGUACCGGUAACGGUCCGGAUAUAUCUUUAAAGGGAAACCGCCGGUUUGGCGACAGCCGGUGGGUAUAUGGGAAAACCAACUGGACCUAAGCCACAAUAUUUACCCGGGCAGCUGUCACCGGCAUAAAAUAUAUU